UCCCGAGUUAAAAUUCCAUGGUAAUAUGCGGAAUUGUACAAUUCCCAACAGAAAGGGAAUUUUCAUCUUCUGCUCGCUCGAUAACCUAUCUUCUGCCCGCCAAAAUUUUCAUCUUCUGCGUACCAAAAUUUCAGGAAUAACCUAUUUUCUUCAAAGAGAACCAGCCUGCGCGCCAUGGGUAUUCUCUUGAUGGUGUUCUGCUAAGUUUUCUGGGUUUUGCUUUUAUUUUAUUUCUCCUCUCUGUCUUUCAAUCUGACAAGAAUAUUUGCUCUUCCAAUCAAGUAUUGUUGAUUAGUUGGAAUCGAAAGCAGUUGCUAUCACGUUCUAGGAAGGAAUAACAAGCCAUGUACUUAAGUUUCAUCAAGUCUCCUUUUUGAAGUCUCAUGAAGAUGUUAGAACUUUUUGAUUUAAAGUGAUUGCAAACUGGGAUGAUAUAGUGGAUUUAUGUGGCAAAGAUAGAGCUACUGGAGAGGGUGCUGAAACAUGUGCAGAAGCUGUUGAGGUUAUGACUCCUGAGAGUGAUCCCAAUAUUAUUGUUGAUUUGGAAAGUGAUACUCAAGGUUUUGAGAAUUGUCAGGUUCACAAUGUUUCACCCAGCUCUAGUUGUCCAAAGAGAAGAAAUCAAAAACCUUCUGAUAUUCCCCUACCAAAAAAAAGAGGUACAACUAAUGUUCUUGCUGAUUCAGUGGCUAAAAUGGCUUCAUCUUUGGAAUACUUUAUCAAUUCUACUACACAAAAGCUUGAUCCAAUAGAAGUAUAUAAUGAAGUCAUUGCAAUUCCAGAUCUUAGUCCAGAUGAACAACUGAAGGCAUGCUCUUGAUUUAUAGAAAAUGAGAAACAAUUUCUCAUGUUAAAGACAAUUCCAACUGAGAGAAAGAAGGGAAUGGUGUUGAUGUUUAUUUCACCAAGAGCAUAGACACAUUUUAUAUUCAGUUGACAUCUUUAAGUUUUGUUAUUUUUGUUGAACAUUGGUUGGGGUGAUUAGCUUCAUUUUUUUAAU